AAUAUUGGACAAUGGGGGGAACCCUGAUCCAGCCAUGCCGCGUGUGUGAAGAAGGUCUUCGGAUUGUAAAGCACUUUAAGUUGGGAGGAAGAGUUGUAGGCUAAUACCUUGCUGUUUUGACGUUACCGACCGAAUAAGCACCGGCUAUCUUCGUGCCAGCAGCCGCGGUAAUACGAAGGGUGCAAGCGUUAAUCGGAAUUACUGGGCGUAAAGCGCGCGUAGGUGGGUCGUUUAGUUGGAAGUGAAAGCCCCGGGCUUAACCUGGGAAUUGCUUUCAAAACUGACGAGCUAGAGUACGGUAGAGGGUAGUGGAAUUUCCUGUGUAGCGGUGAAAUGCGUAGAUAUAGGAAGGAACAGCAGUGGCGAAGGCGACUACCUGGACUGAUACUGACACUGAGGUGCGAAAGCGUGGGGAGCAAACAGG
rnacentral:rRNA from 1 species